rnacentral:rRNA from 1 species
AUUGAACGCUGGCGGAAUGCUUUACACAUGCAAGUCGAACGGCAGCACGGACUUCGGUCUGGUGGCGAGUGGCGAACGGGUGAGUAAUAUAUCGGAACGUAUCCAAUAAUGGGGGAUAACUAAUCGAAAGGUUGGCUAAUACCGCAUACGCCCUACGGGGGAAAGCUAGGGACCUUCGGGCCUGGCGUUAAUGGAGCGGCCGAUAUCUGAUUAGCUAGUUGGUGAGGUAAGAGCUCACCAAGGCGACGAUCAGUAGCUGGUCUGAGAGGACGACCAGCCACACUGGAACUGAGACACGGUCCAGACUCCUACGGGAGGCAG